UCUCUCUCUCUCUCUCUCUAUAACGCUCACUCGUAGUUUGGGUUUUGGUUGGGUUGGGUUGGAUUGGGUUGGGUCUCUCGCUUUUCAAAAAACCUAACAGGAUAGAAAGGGCAGAGAGCAGACCCUGUGAGUUGAGUUAAUUAUGGAUCCCUGCCCUUUCGUGCGCCUCACCGUUGGCAAUCUCGCGCUCAAAAUCCCCGUUGCUUCUAAGCCUGCUCGCUCUGUUGUUCACCCCUCUUCGUCGCCGUGUUUCUGUAAAAUUAAGCUCAAGAACUUCACGCUCCAAACGGCAGUCGUCCCCUACAUUCCCCCUGAGAACAAUCAGUUCCCCGAGGGACAGGCUCAAACGCUUGCCGCUACCUUUCAUCUUAGUAAGUCUGAUCUCGAACGCUUAGUUGCAAAAUCUAUUUUUGCCGGGAAGCUCUGCCUUAAAAUCUCUAUCUACACUGGGCGUCGUGGCACCACAUGUGGCGUUAACUCUGGAAGGCUGUUGGGGAAAGUUUCCGUGCCGUUGGAUCUCGCGGGAACUGAGUCUAGGGCUUGUGUGUUCCACAAUGGGUGGAUUUCUGUUGGGAAAGAAGCUAAUAAAGGAUCCUCUGCUCAGUUUCAUUUGAAUGUGAAGGCAGAGCCCGAUCCGAGAUUUGUGUUUCAGUUCGAUGGCGAGCCAGAGUGCAGUCCCCAAGUGUUCCAGAUCCAAGGGAACAUUAGGCAACCGGUUUUUACUUGCAAGUUCAGUUUCAGAAACACCGGCGACCGGAAUCAAAGAUCUAGGUCAUUGCAAUCAGAGCCAAGCAGCUCUAGAAGCUGGCUCACCUCAUUUGGGAGCGAAAGAGAGAGGCCAGGCAAGGAACGAAAAGGAUGGUCAAUAACGGUACACGACCUCUCCGGCUCGCCUGUAGCUGCCGCUUCAAUGGUUACGCCCUUCGUGGCUUCUCCUGGCUCUGACCGAGUCAGCAGGUCUAACCCCGGCUCGUGGCUCAUACUUCGUCCUGGCGAUGGCACCUGGAAGCCAUGGGGCCGGCUCGAGGCUUGGCGCGAGCGCGGGUCUAGCGACGGACUUGGCUAUCGCUUUGAGCUUAUCCCGGAUACCAGCGGUUGCAUGAGCGCGGCCGGCAUUGUACUGGCUGAGUCUACUCUCAGCUCGCAUAAAGGCGGAAAUUUUCUUAUAGAUCUGGGCACCAACUACAACGGGCGCUCAACUCCGGGAAAUUCAAAUUCGCCGUUGUGUAGUCCGAGGAGUAGUGGGGAUUUUGGGUACGGGCUAUGGCCAUACUGCACGUACAGAGGGUUUGUAAUGUCAGCUAGAGUGGAAGGAGAAGGCAAGUGCAGUAAGCCCAGCGUCCAAGUAAGUGUACCGCAUGUGAAUUGCACGGAGGAUGCAGCUGCUUUUGUAGCGUUAGCUGCGGCCAUUGAUUUGAGCAUGGAUGCUUGCAGGCUUUUCUCUCAACGGCUCAGGAAGGAGCUGUGUCAAGACCGGGAUUUACUUGGCUGAUUCUUCUGCCUUGCUCUUUUUUACGUUGUCGUUUUAUGUUAAU
rnacentral:misc_RNA from 1 species